UUUUUUUUAUUGCUUGUUUUUUGGUUACAAAGGUUGUUGUACGUAAAGCAGAACUGAUUUGAUAACUGUUAUUUUUAUUGACUGUUGACAAUUUCAAGAUGUUUUUUUUUUUGAUUAUAUAACUUUUUUGUUAUCUUUAGGCCAAUUUGCACAGACUACAGCCGUAUCUACCUCUUGUGCUACACCUGUAUCUACCUCUUGUGCUACACCUGGUAAGUUAAACAACUAUUUUUAAUGCGCACAAAGUUAUCAUUGAUUGUAAUAUUGAUUUUUAAAAGAUAUUUUUUACCUUUAGUUAUUUCUACAUGUGCUACGCCUGUUACAUCUUCAGCUGUUACGUCAAUUCCAUCUGCACCACCUUUAAAU